GAACGCUGGCGGCAGGCCUAACACAUGCAAGUCGAACGGUAACAGGAAGAAGCUUGCUUCUUUGCUGACGAGUGGCGGACGGGUGAGUAAUGUCUGGGAAACUGCCUGAUGGAGGGGGAUAACUACUGGAAACGGUAGCUAAUACCGCAUAACGUCGCAAGACCAAAGAGGGGGACCUUCGGGCCUCUUGCCAUCGGAUGUGCCCAGAUGGGAUUAGCUUGUUGGUGGGGUAACGGCUCACCAAGGCAACGAUCCCUAGCUGGUCUGAGAGGAUGACCAGCCACACUGGAACUGAGACACGGUCCAGACUCCUACGGGAGGCAGCAGUGGGGAAUAUUGCACAAUGGGCGCAAGCCUGAUGCAGCCAUGCCGCGUGUAUGAAGAAGGCCUUCGGGUUGUAAAGUACUUUCAGCGGGGAGGAAGGGAGUAAAGUUAAUACCUUUGCUCAUUGACGUUACCCGCAGAAGAAGCACCGGCUAACUCCGUG
rnacentral:rRNA from 1 species